CCUACGGGAGGCAGCAGUGGGGAAUAUUGGGCAAUGGGCGCAAGCCUGACCCAGCAACGCCGCGUGAAGGAAGAAGGCUUUCGGGUUGUAAACUUCUUUUCUCAGGGACGAAGAAAGUGACGGUACCGGAGGAAUAAGUCACGGCUAACUACGUGCCAGCAGCCGCGGUAAUACGUCGGUGGCGGUCGUUAUCCGGAUUUAUUGGGUGUAAAGGGCGUGUAGGCGGGAGGGCAAGUCAGAUGUGAAAACUCAGGGCUCAACCCUGAGCCUGCAUUUGAAACUGGGAUUCUUGAGUGCUGUAGAGGCAAGCGGAAUUCCGGGUGUAGCGGUGAAAUGCGUAGAUAUCCGGAGGAACACCAGUGGCGAAGGCAGAUCGCUGGACAGAAACUGACGCUGAGGCGCGAAAGCGUGGGGAGCAAACAGGAUUAGAUACCCUAGUAGUC
rnacentral:rRNA from 1 species